rnacentral:lncRNA from 1 species
GAGCAACAAAGAGAAAGUGGCCCUGUGAUAAGCCACCUGAGGGCUUGGCUGGACAAGGGAGCUUGGACCGUCCCACCAUCACCUGCCCCCGUGGGCCUGUUGAACUCUGAUCUCUCCUUCAAGCCUCCUUCCGAUGCUACUUCUGAAACUGAGGCCACUUGUGGUCUGGGAGCCUCACUUGCAGGGGUGAGGGAUGUUGGGACUGUUAGGUGGAACUGAAGUCUGGUAGGGCAGACCAGGUGGGCAGGUGGCAGCCCUCCUCUCCUGCCUUCAACCUGGGUGAGAAGGUGGCCCCCAGGCAGUCCUGCCCUGAUCUGGCCACCUCCCUCCACCCUCCAGCUCCCAGAUUCUGAGCUCCUCUUUGGCUUUGGGGCAGUCCUUAUCUGCACAGUAGAUAGAGAGCUCAGCUCGUGGGCACUGGACCCCCCGCCAAGUCCCUUCCCAGACCUCGCGGAGCUGCUCAGGCAUUGUCCAGGGAAGUCAGACCCAGACCUGACGUUAACAGGAGCAGGUGUGGACUGUCAGUGCUGGCCUUCCCAAGGGUCCCACCCAAUGACCAACAGCUAGAGAUUUACAGAGCCUGGAACCCAGAAAGUGACCUAGGCACAGGACAUGGGAGAGGACAGAGAAGGACAAACAGUGUCAGAGAUGGGUGGAUAGGUGGGAUAGUGAUACAGAGACAGGAUGAGAGAGACGCACAGAGACAGAGAUGUCAGAGACACACAGGAGGCAAAGGCCUGGGUUCAGUGACACACAGCGAUGGACUGAGGGAUGCAGAGGGCACAGCACACACUCCGGUGGCUCCUGCGUUGAGCUGGUCCCUGGCCCUCUCCUUACCCCCGUGACUCUUAGACCUAGAGUGUGUGCCUCCAAACGUGACCUCAGGGCUUUGCUGGGCUCAACAUCCAUCUCUCUACCCCCUCCUUCCUAACUGGUCCACAUUCUACUGAGUCUAAAGCAUGCCUCCUCCUCCAGGAAGCCAUGUGAAUUGCAGAAUAACAUGGAAUUUGUCCAGGAAGCCACUGGAAAAUCCAGAGCAGGGGACAGCCAUGGGCAGAACUGUGCCAACGUGUGGCUCACAGACGGGCAGGGUCAGCGUCCUCUGGGAGCUCGCUAGAGAGGCAGAUGUUGGCCCCUAUCCCACACCAACCGAAUCUCGAUGGGGCCCCAGAACCUGCAUGGUGAUAGGCUGUCCCAGUCAUCCAGAUGCAGCCUAAAGUGUUAGAAGCAUUGUGGGAGUCUCCAUAGGCUAUGUUGAGAAAACAGAGAGAAAGUGGGGCUGGGGGACUGGGUGAGAGACUUUUAUGAUCAUCCAGGAGAGAAUGUGGCCAUUUAACACACUUUUACUUAGUGACGGGGGUGUGCCAGGUGCUGGGCUGAGUUUUGGGGGAAUACAAGGUCUGCCUUAGGGUGAGGCUGUGGGAAAGCAGGGGAAGGAACAGAAGUGAGAGAAAUAGAGCAGGCAGAGUCCACAGGAUAAGGUUGGAAGUUUGGGGGAAAGGAAGAGAGAUGUCAUGUACAGUUGUGCAGGUUGGCUACUGUACAAAGGCACCCAAGAAAGGUGAUGAGUAGGAGCUGAGUUGGCUGAAAAGAGGGGUACACCAAGGCAUAGAGGGUUUCCUGUAAGAAAGGAGGGUCAGAAGUGAUGUUCACCCUUAAAACAAAAAUAGGCCGGGCGCGGUGGCUCAGGCCUGUAAUCCCAGCACUUUGGGAGGCCGAGGCGGGCGGAUCAUGAGGUCAGGAGAUCGAGACCAUCCUG